UAUAUUCAUUUUGUUGUUAUAAUUGUCAUAUUUUCUGAUUUUCAAUACUAAUAUUUUGACAUAGUAAUCAAAGAAUGGCGAGUAUGUUGUGGGAUUAUUUUGCCGAUCAAGUUUUUAGAGCCUGUCAAAAAUCUGAGGGAAGUAUUGUUGUUUGUCUGCUCAAAUUUUACAACAUAAGUGGCUACAAAAGUGUUAAGUUUUUAUCUAAUUCUUUUGAUGGUAUUCAACUCCAUGUCAAUCCACUAUGGCCUCAAAAAACUUGCAUGAUCCAGUGAAGAAACUGAUUGGAAAGACAUUUCUCUUUAUUGUAUGUGUUGGAAAAGAGAACAUAUGGAAUGGUAAAAGAAAUCUACAAGGUGUGGAAAGUAAUGUCAAAAGAUGAUCUUUUUAAAUCAUCACAAAUAAGGAUAUGAAAUCGAUUAACCAAAAGUCAAAAACGGCGGAGAUGUCGGAAAUGGACCAAUGAAAAUAAAGAAGAAGAUGAUAUAUUUGUUUUCUGAGACUAGAGUGAUCUAGGCAAAACAAAAACAAAA